rnacentral:rRNA from 1 species
GGACCAGACUCCUACGGGAGGCAGCAGUGAGGGAUAUUGGGCAAUGGGGGAAACCCUGACCCAGCGACGCCGCGUGAGGGAAGACGGUCUUCGGAUUGUAAACCUCUGUCUUUGGGGACGAAAAAGGACGGUACCCAAGGAGGAAGCUCCGGCUAACUACGUGCCAGCAGCCGCGGUAAUACGUAGGGAGCGAGCGUUGUCCGGAAUUACUGGGUGUAAAGGGCGUGUAGCCGGGCUGACAAGUCAGAUGUGAAAUCCGGGGGCUCAACCCCCGAACUGCAUUUGAAACUGUUGGUCUUGAGUAUCGGAGAGGCAGGCGGAAUUCCUAGUGUAGCGGUGAAAUGCGUAGAUAUCAGGAGGAACACCAGUGGCGAAGGCGGCCUGCUGGACGACAACUGACGGUGAGGCGCGAAAGCGUGGGGAGCAAACAGGAUUAGAUACCCGCGUA